AAAUGGCCGCAGUAUAUUAACUGUGCAAAGGUAGCAUAAUCAUUAGUCUUUUAAUUGGAGGCUGGUAUGAAUGGUUGGACGAAAUAUUAACUGUUUCAUAUAAAUUUAUAUUAAAAUUUUAUUUUUUAGUAAAAAAGCUAAAAUUUAAUUAAAAGACGAGAAGACCCUAUAAAUCUUUAUAUUUAUAUUAAUAUAGUUUUUAGGAUUAUUUUUAUUAUAAUAAUUAAUAAUAUUUUAUUGGGGUGAUAUUAAAAUUUAAAUAACUUUUAAUUGUAAAAUUCAUUAAUUUAUGAGUUAUUGAUCCGUGAUUAACGAUUAGGAAUUUAAGUUACUUUAGGGAUAACAGCGUAAUUUUUUUGGAGAGUUCAUAUUAAUAAAAAAGAUUGCGACCUCGAUGUUGGAUUAAGAGAUAAUUUUAGGUGUAGUCGCUUAAAUUUUAAGUCUGUUCGACUUUUAAAUUCUUACAUGAUCUGAGUUUAAACCGGUGUAAGCCAGGUUGGUUUCUAUCUUUAGUAA
rnacentral:rRNA from 1 species